UGGAUCACCUCCUAACAGGGGGACAAACAACGAUUUUGAUGUCUGAGUUUUUUUAUUCUUAGGCCAAAAUCCUGUCACCUUAGGUCGAUCGGUACCUCAACUUUGAAGCCAAGAGAAUCCAGCAAUGGAUUUCUGCUUGGUGGAGAUUUUUAGUUCCUAAACUUUGUCUAGUUCACAACCCAUUAGGGAUGAGACUCCUGGGCCAUUAGCUCAGGUGGUUAGAGCGCACCCCUGAUAAGGGUGAGGUCCCUGGUUCAAGUCCAGGAUGGCCCAUUCGGUGUAGGGGGUUUAGCUCAGUUGGUAGAGCGCCUGCUUUGCAAGCAGGAUGUCAGGAGUUCGAGUCUCCUAACCUCCACUGACUGCAAAGAAUCCCCAUCUCCAAAACCUGGAGUAUGAACUCGUAUGGAUUGUGAUUUAGAUGAGUCCGCUAGAUGACCCUAGCUUCUUGUCAUUUUAAGACAUGGAAGUAGUUCCAUGAUGUUUAAUUGAUAGGAUGCUGGGCUCGAUGCAAUGUAUUGAGAGAUCAAUGCAUUGCUUUGAUGUCUGGCCGAACCUUGACAACUGCAUAGUAAGUCUGGAAAGAAUAAAGCAUCUCAUAGAUGCAUCAUUCUUGAGUGUUAAUUCACGCUGGAAUGAUGUUAAUUCUAAGAGCAAGAGCCGAGACUCCAGCAUGUUCUUUCAAAUGUGUCGAGCAUUUGAGAGUUUGAUUUUAAUUUCUAUUCGUAGAAGUUAGAAGAAUCUGUUUCAACGACAGCAAGCGUGUUGGAGAUACAUUGGUCAAGCUACAAAGGGCUCACGGCGGAUACCUUUGGCACACAGAGGCGAUGAAGG
rnacentral:tRNA from 1 species